GUAAAAGUCAAUGGGUCAUUGAAUAGAUAUGCAGGUAAAAUGUUUAAAUAAUAGUUCCAUGACUUUGAAGUCUUGAUGUUUAGAGAUUAUAGAAUGGGAAUGAGAAUUAUUAUCGUGCAUUCUUCCACCACCGCCCCUUUGCCCAAUUGUCUUCCAGCACCGCCCCUUCGCCCAAUUGCCUAUGUGCAGUCCCCCUAUUCUCUAAUGCAUAUUUCAUUGAUGUUUUUUUAGGAUCAUCUGAAGGCUUUCAGAUUCUCCCCAUUCACCACCCUCCCAAAAACCUAUAAACCUCCUCUCUUUUUUUCUCUCCUUUUCUUCUUUUAUUGCUCUUUUGCGUUUUAUCUUCAGUGGAAACAAUGGGUGUGUAAUGGAUGCCGUUGAUUUUUGUCCGCCACCGUGUAAGGUGGAGAAGGUGGCGGUGCGGUCUCUGAACAAGCUCCCGUUUGGGCUUCCGGUUCUGCCCCUCCGCUCGAAGUUCCUCACAAAACACAGUUUUUUUUUUGUAAUUUUGUGCAUGUAGAUUAUAAUCGUUAAUUAGACAUCAACUGUUGUGAUUCGGGUAAAGCUGCAAAGUCUAAUGCUGAAGUCUGAUCAGAUGCAGAUGUGGAGCAAAUAUAACCUAAAUCAUGUGUUUAUCUGUGAGCACAUGUAUGAUCCUGCUACUGGGUCACUCAGGAAGCUGAUAUCAAAGUAACAUACUCAAAGUGGAUGCUACUUCUUCCUUAAGAAAAGAGAAGAAAGAGAAGUGUAAGAUCUUCUUCAACCAUUUUAUUAUUCUUCUUCGUUUUCAUAGAUCAUAACAAGAGAGAGUGGGAUAGGUUUGAAGACGGAAGACUAUGAUUCGCAUUGAUGCAACGUCUGAUAGCAAAGAUGAAGAGAGAAAAGUAAAGAAGGAGCCUUUUGAGACAAAUCAGAUCUACAACCGUGGGAGAUUCCGUUUCAGUGGGAAUGGAGAGUGGUCUGAUAUGGGCUUAUUGAUUAGUUGGGCUUAUCAGCCUAAUGUAAAUAUGGGUCACGCAACCCAUGGUCCGGGCGGACCGAAACUCAAUCUAUAAAUAUCAGACACCACCCAAGCGGUGGGGAUCUAAUUUUUCAGGCAUUUUUCUAGUUUCGUUCAUUCUCUAUCGCUCUCAAACUGGUUAGCCCUUGCUCGAUAGUUCCAUACCGGAACAUUGGCGCCGUCUGUGGGGACUCUGUAAAACAAAUCCCCACUACCACGAACAAGAGGCUAUGUGAUUUCUACUCCUGAGAGAGGAGGGCGAACGAAAUUGAAGGGGAAGCCAUGCAAUCAAUUUAUGUAAAAAUGUCAGUUUCAAAAGAUGGUUGCAUAGAACAUCAGAAACAGAUUGAGGAAACGUGAAGAAGCAGAGAAGAGAAAACGGCGACAAGGGAGAAAAGUUUCGGAUCGAUGCCAGGACGUGAACGGAGGCGGCGAAACUCCUUGGUGCUCGCGGGCGAUGCGUUUUGUGGGCGGUGGAAGGGAUGAACAAAGUGGUUCGCCUUUACCAUCGUCCAUGCUCUUUUUCUUUCAAUCCUUUUUCAAUGUUGCAGUUCCCAAACUUCACAAAGGACAGAGGUCAAGUGGAUUGAAGGUUGGAGGAUCACAAUUUGGGCUUGAAAAUCAAGAUGGAGAACGCCCCUGUUUCCGGACCUGAUUCAAAACCGUCAACAAAUCCCAAUUCAUACGAUUUUGGAAAUGCACAACCGCCACGUAGAAGAUUGAAGCCAUCAUUUUGAGUUGCAACCGUCCAUUCAAUUUCAACUGUCACGCCCAGAAUUUAAAUGCUCAUUUUGUCUCAACUGCAAGGGGAGUUUGCAACCGCUCAUGCUUUCUCAACCGCCACUCUGGGUCGAAAUCGUCCAUGUUCGUCCAUGAGUUCAAUCAAACCAAAUUGAUUCAGGACCAUUCAAGCACAAUCCUUGUUCCUUCAAAUAUUUCUUCUACUUUCUGUUUCAGUUUUGUUUCCAUUAGAUUUGUGCUCCGAUUAUCAAUGGUUUGAAAUUAAUUCCAUCAUUCUUUUCUUUGUGUUUGAUACGAGAAAGAGAGGAGCAUGGUGGAUUAAGAAGAAGGAGCAUAUAAGUUGGAACACACCAACUGUUCGACGAAAUGCUUCAGCAAAACUUUGCAUCUUCGAAUGCCAUAAUGUGCUUGUCAACUCCGUCAUCAUGUACCAGGAUUUCAACAUUGCACACAAAGUGUUUGAUCAAAUGCCACAAUGAGAUGUUGUUUCAUUGGUGAGGAUGAACUAUGCAAUUUGGUGCAUAGGAGCAAGUCUUAAGGGCUGGAGUGAGAGGGCAGUACAAUUUCCAUUCUACUAGUUGAUUUUUUAAUUUUACCUCUUACUUUCUUAUCAUGUGGUUCUUCGUUCAUAAGCAUGCCUGCAUUCUGUUUGAUGAAGUGCUUAACUGACAUUCAUUUUACCUUCAAUUCAUCACAUGAGAGUUCUGAUCUGGGAUAUGAUUUUCUCGAUUUUAAUUUGUUUUAAUCCUUUAACUACUACAUGGGAAUUUAAACGCUCUUGAGUUUUAUGGUGACUGUUUAACGUUCGUAACUCCUUGCCUUGCCUGCAAUCUGGUUUAUCCCUCGCUCAUUUGAUUAGUUUAGAUUUGAACCUGCACUUAUUUGCAUCUGAACAUGAAACUUGGUAGUUAAUUUCCUAAUUAAAGGUGUUUGAUUGUAUAACUGUUCUUUCUCAUGUGAUUUGGUUAUUACGAAGGAUAAGGUGUUGAGUUUUGAAAUGUGUAUCAAGUAUAACCAUAUGUUCUGGUGCUGGUUCUCAAUUUCCUUGAUGUGGCUCUAUACGUGUUGUCACUUAUCAUAUUCCAAAUGCUGGUUUUUAUCAUAGUGAUUUGGUGCACGCUUGCACCUGAGGUAAUUUGUUAAUGAUCUCUUGUCUAAAACAUGUGGACCAUCAUACAACUCUGGAAUUUAGUUUACUGCAACUAAUUAAUUUAUCUAGCUCCUCUUGUCUGUAUCAUUUUUAUGUUCAUUUUCCCCAAAGCAUAUGUUGAUUUGGUGAUGAACUACUUGUUUGUAUAAAUCUGUAUGUUAGAACAAAGGGGACAGCCCUGCAUUAUAAAUAAUGAAACGAAACUGUCUUUCUAAAAGAGUAAAUGUGUGUUGCCCCACUGUGCUUUGUAAAUUAUUUUAUAAAACAGAUAUUUAGUAUUCAAACCAAGGGUAGGGAAAUGGAUACCUUCUGUUUUUUCACAUGUACGUAAUAAUUCUGGUUUGAGUCUUGUUUUAUGUUAUCAUAAGUUUCUAGUUUAUUCUGACUAAGCCUUGCCAUCUGUUCUUAAUUCUCACCACUUUCAUCAGUUUAAUUAUGUAUACUUGGAUACCUUAGUCAAUUAACUGUCUUCAUGAUCAUAUUCAAAUCUCUGCAUAAUUACUUUAAUUUGUAAUGCACAUGCAAUUCCUUAGCUGAACAUGUGAAAAGCUACAGUAGGCGGUCUCGUGUGAGACUCAACUUUAGGGAUGCACAUUUUGAUAUACAUGCUCAUUCUUGGUAUAUAUAUAUAUUUUCUCAUUUCAUCAACAUGCCUUUUACACCUUCUAUUGUAUAAAGUUUAAAGUUCAGGAAAGGUAUGUGCACAUGGCCAACUCACUGGAAAGGGAAGUGACGGUGAAGAGGAUGGUAAAGAAAAAGUAAAAGGCACUGGGAGAGUGUUUAGAGUCUGAAGAUGAAGAACCAAUUUUCCGCCACACCAAUUAUUUGAUGGAAUGGAGGAUGAUGAAGAUGCAUCCUAGGAGAGGGCAUGCGAACAAAAAAUGGCUGGUCUUGAAUAGCACAAAAUCUGGAACUGAGACAAAAUUCUGGUUUGACAAAUCUUUCUUUUAAUUCUAUUUAAUAUCCUAUCUGCAUAAUCUGCAUGCUGCCUGCACAAAGAAUAGUGAUUUUCUUUGAUAACUAUUCGAACUCCAGUGGAAUAUACUCUUGCAUAGUUAAUUCUUAAUUUGUUUUGAUGGUAAAUCCUUAAUUGAUUAUUUGAGAAACAGUCUCCUAGCUUUAAUAAGAAGUACCUUUGGAAAGUGUCUAAUUGCAGUGGAUGUUUUAUAUCACUAUAUGAAUUUGAACUGUUUGAGCUAUAAAAUAAUGAGCUUUAAUUUUGAUGAAUGGAUGCUCUUUACUUGAAUUCAAAGUUGAUUCUAAAGUUAAUGCUUUCUAUGUUAUUAAGUAUCAAUUUGUCUUUGUUGUGAGUUGCUCUGCUAUAUUCUUGAAUUAAACAUGAAAAAUUGGUCCUUCAAAUUGAGAUUUUGCCUGCUAAUCCUGAAAGCUUGAUUACUUGAACUUGUGAUGCAAGAGAUUGAAAUUUAUGUUGAAAAUCAAUCUAUACUCGGUUACUUCCACAUUGAUGUUGGAUCUGAUUGCAUUUUGGGGUCCAUGAGUUUCAAUUUGUACUUUGAAGAGAUCUCCAAAUGCCUACCAUAUAUUUGAUAAAUUCUCUAUGUGAGUUCAAAAGAAGUUCAAGAAAGUAUAACGUUGCUGUUUGGAAAAAAGUUACCCUGAGUUCUUGACUUUGUGUUGGUUAUCAAGUGUUUCUGAUGCUAUGCCUUAUAUUAUUUGGCCAACUUUCAUUUUAAACUGCCAUUUUACUUAGAAAACCUUAGGUUUGGGUGUUGUGUGCUUGAGUUAUCAUAAGCUAUAAAAUUUCUCCUACAAUUAAACGCUGUUUUGAUGAUAAUUUGCUUGCUUACCAGACUAUAUGUAUGUAAUGAUGUGGAACUUUAAUCAUACUAUUUUCAUAGAAAAUAAGCAUUUGGUUAUUACAUGAUUCUUAAAUGGAAUUAAGGUUUUUCUUUUAAAGUCAGAGUGCAGUAUGGUUAAUAGGCUUGCAUAUACAUUUUGGAAGAGUCUUCAUCAUAUGUCUUGUGAAGUAUCUAUAACUAUCAAAUUUUAUGUGCUUAAUAGGUUCAAGGGUACCAGAAAUUGGGUAUUGGCUAACAAAUAUGAUAAGAUUUCACUUUUUUUUUUUUUUGCCUCAUUGUAUCUAUAUAAGAUUUCACUUUUUAGUUAUCCUGUCAUGAUUUUUGCUUAAAGCAACAUGGAUUUUGGUUUUGGUUUUGUGAAGCUUGAAGCUUUGAACCUUGGAUGAAUGUUCAUUGAAUUGAUGGUGGAAUGAUUCUGAUUUAGAUAAACUAGCUUAGGCUGAUCAUAAGAAGUGUUCCAUUGUGUUUUUGCUGCUUAGUUUAGUAAUUGAGAAGACUCAUUCAUAAUACUGAGAAAACUCAUUUCUUUAAGGUUUUGGAUUUUGAAUAUUGUUCCUGUACAAUUUGCAUGUUUGUGCGCUUCUUACAUAUUUUGAUUUUGUCAAUGUUAUAUUAUAUUUUAUCUCAUGCUAACAAGGUGAUGAGUUGACAGGUGAUGAGUUGACUAAAAACAGUCAAAGCAUAAAACAUUAAGUACAGAAAAAGAAAGGAGCAACAGGUAUGCACUCUUUUCUCUACCCCAGGCGGGAGAGUUUUUAACGAGGCAUAACCUUUUAAAAAUGUUCAAGGGCGUAUGCACUCUUUUCUCUACCCCAGGCGGGAGAGUUUUAACGAGGCAUAACCUUUUUAAAGUGAUCAAGGGCGUAUCAUUUUACUUAUUUCUUUUACCCAUAGCGGAAACUUAUCAACUAAGGUCUAUCAAUUGGGCGACGUCAGACAAUUGAGAAAAGAGUAAGUCUCUUAAAACAAGAGCAUUCGACCACGAAUUCAUAAGCACAGUCUUAAAUUGGAUUUAAGCUUGUCCAAACUAAGCACAAGUCUCCACGCGAGCAUACUAAUGAAAUCAAAUAUCGUGACUUUGAUUUCCAUGAAUAACUAUGUCAAAAAUGAAAAUUUGACUAAGUUAUAUACACGAAGGCCUUAUGAUUCCAAAGUAGUUGAUUAAGUUUAAACUUUAUAAAAUUUUGAGAUUCACUCAAGAGUAUUUUACUAUAUACAGUAAAAUAAGAAAGCGAUGUGCUUGAAUAAUGAUGAAGGCGGAUCAAUUCCGAUGAAAAGUAAAGAAACACAUAAUGAUUCUGAUGGAAAGUUCAUCUUACAAAAAAUACACUACACUGAGCAUAGAUGAAUGUGCAAGCGAUAUGAAGUAAGUGUGUUCCAUGUUAUUGAUUUACAUUUAAGUCUUCAACUUUUAUUUUGUUCAAGUUUCAAAUUAUUGUGCAUUAUUACUUGUGGUAUUAUGAGAGCAGGUUGUAAUCAUGGUUUAGGGGAAGAGAAAAUUAUUCAUGAUAAUGACAGUGAGGCUGUGAUUGAUGCGAAGAGGUGAUUUUGGUCAACUUGCACACGCUACACAAAGAUCAAGAAGUAACAGCAAAAGUUGAAAUGACAAAGGAAUGACUACUUAGCUUUUAUGCCUUUUAAAUUUUGAUUUUGGAGCCUGUGUGCCCAUUAUUUCCUUUGCACAUUUUGGGCGUGUCAAUUACUUGUUAGUCUUUGUGUAGUGUUGGGUGAGUUGAUUACUUGUGGGCUCGAAAAAAGACACACUUCGUCUUAAAGCUUUUAAGACUCGGUGUCUUGUGGGCUUGUGGUCUGAUAUGGGCUUAUUGAUUAGUUGGGCUUAUCAGCCUAAUGUAAAUAUGGGUCACGCAACCCAUGGUCCGGGCGGACCGAAACUCAAUCUAUAAAUAUCAGACACCACCCAAGCGGUGGGGAUCUAAUUUUUCAGGCAUUUUUCUAGUUUCGUUCAUUCUCUAUCGCUCUCAAACUGGUUAGCCCUUGCUCGAUAGUUCCAUAGCGGAACAGAGAGGAUCUAUGUCGGUGGAAAGGUUAUCUCUCAACCAUUUCUUUUCUGGGUAUUAUAUUUGUUUCAAGUUUCAAAUUUUACACAUGCAGUUUCAAUUUCUCUUUUUGAGACGAUGGGGUUGGUGAACACAAUUUGCAGUAUCUAGCUAAUUUCGCUUUUAUUAUAUUGCUUUUUUUAGCUGCAUUGGGGUCUAUCUGAUUGUCAGUUGGAUUUGUUAAUUUCAUUUCUCCUUUCCUUCCUUGCAAAUCUUAUUUUUCUCAUUUAUUUACAGUCCAAUGUGCAGAUGGUCUUAAUGUGUGACGGGUUGCAGGAAGGGAAGUUGGUUGUGCAGAGACGGAGGUUUGGGACCUGAUCAAAUGGGAUGCAAUCAAUGGCAAGUGUUGUAAGUGUGAUUUUUUAUUUUAUUUUACUUAUUUGAUUUGAGUUUUGUUGGAUCUAGAGCUUGAUUAUUUUCUCUUGCUGUGUUUAUCUACUUCUUCCUUUGUACUGUGGUCACCUAACAUGUUGUGUCCUGCUGCUGUCUACAACCAUGUGAUCACUGAUCUAUCUUUAUAAGAUAUGAACAUGCUGUAGCUGGAGCUAUUGAUGGAUGAAAACAAAAUCUGUAUAAUAAAAUAUAAAACAUGUUGAGUAAUGAAUUUGUUAAUUGUCGUUUCUAAACAUUCUCCUAACAUUUUUAUGUUAAUUGUUUGUGUUUGAUGCAAUUUUUCCUAUAUUGUUGGAGUGGAGAGAUGAUCCUGAGGCCAUUCUUGAUAAGCAUACAUGGGAUUUAUCUCCAAAUCUGGCUGCAGAAGCAGCACCAGAUCAGCUUUGGAAAAUAACGGCAAUAUAAGUGGCAGGAAACAUCAUGGUGUAGGCUACAAGAAUCACAUAAACCUCGAUGCUUUAUAUGUCAUGUAUUCCCACUUUUAACUAAGCUCUCUGAUUCUCUAUGUUAGUAAGUGACUUAAAUUAACCAAAGCAUUUAUUGAUCAA